GUGGGGAAUUUUGCGCAAUGGGCGAAAGCCUGACGCAGCGACGCCGCGUGAGGGACGAAGGCCUUCGGGUUGUAAACCUCUUUUAUAGGGGAAGAUAAUGACGGUACCCUAUGAAUAAGCCACGGCUAACUCUGUGCCAGCAGCCGCGGUAAGACAGAGGUGGCAAGCGUUGUUCGGAAUUACUGGGCUUAAAGGGCGCGUAGGCGGUGAGGUAAGUCCGAGGUGGAAUCCUAUGGCUCAACCAUAGAAUUGCCUUGGAUACUGUUUCACUUGAGUAAGUGAGAGGAAGGCGGAAUUCCUGGUGUAGCAGUGAAAUGCGUAGAUAUCAGGAGGAAGGCCCGUGGCGAAGGCGGCCUUCUGGCGCUUUACUGACGCUGAGGCGCGAAAGCGUGGGGAGCAAACAGGAUUAGAAACCCGAGUAGUCC
rnacentral:rRNA from 1 species